UUUCCCUCAUCGAUUACUUGAUCUCCACAGCCGACUCACCCGAUCGACUACUUGAUCUCCACAGCCGACUCACCCGUCUUCACCUCCUCCGAACCAAUUGAAAGCUCCUAAUAAUAUAAUAAGGUUCAGAAAUCCCUCUUGAAGAGCUUGCUGAAUCAAUUGUAUCAGAUAAGAAUCCUAAUAGCAGCAUUAAAAGGGAAAAGGUAUGUGUUUACCUUAAUCCCCAAAGGGGUUCUAUUAUUCUGUUUUUCCAUGAAUUAUUCAAGCAUCGAUAAGGAAACAAAACUCCUUCCUCUGAUUCUAUAUUUUAAGGAGCUCUUGGAUAUUUGAAAGGA